rnacentral:lncRNA from 1 species
UUUUUGUCUAGAGGAAGAUAUAGCCUGUCUAUUUCUUUAAAUCUAAUAUGUGUUUUUCUCUAUCCACAAGUAAAUACUCCUUUUGAAAAGCUCAAAAUUUUAUUUCUUCUUUCUGAAGGCUUUAUCUUGCAUGAUCACUAUUAAUUGUUUGUUUAACAGCCUGGAUUAGCUGGCUGCAAGGUUUGCUUAGUAUCUUGUGUAAAUUCUUUAUCAUUAAAAGUCAGUUUUCCUGAUGGCAUUAUGAAGAUUUACUACUUCUGUAAGUAUGACUUUUUCUUUUGUGGGGUUUCUGUAAGUGGAAUAGACAAAGAAAGAAGCAGUUACUUUGGUUUUUACUAGCCAUAGGAUAUUCUAGUUUAUAAUUUAAUUUAAAAAACUAAAAGGUUAUAUGAGAUAACAUGAAGUUUCAGAUUCUUUAGAAAGAAAAUCUGAUGUCAGUUUUUCUUUCUUCAGCUAUUGGCCGUGGUCAUUUUUCCUCUGGCCAAUGUGAUCACAGUAACUGCCUUUUCGUAGUCCCACGGCCAGUACAUUUUGUGCUAUAGAUGAUUUCAGGAGGAAAGAAGAACUUGCACAAAUGAGCUGCAGAGAGAGUCCUCAAACUUUAUAUUAAUUAAUCAUUUCAGCCUGCUCCCCUACUAAACUUUUAACUAGAGCAGCUAAUAGGAAGCAAACGGAUGGGUUUGAAUUUCAUCUCCUUUUGUUUUCCCUGCUCACUCUCUGGAAAAGGGGCUAAUGAGCAGUGAAAUGGCCAGGCGUGAGCCGUGAGCCGCCAGAGGAGAGGAGGGCCUGCCUGUGGAGACUGCUGGCUGUGUAAUCAGCUCCUGAAUUAUCACAAGGUGCCUCACGGCUUUAUGAAGGUGUCUGUAAUACCAGGCUCCAAAGCUGAGAGGAGUAAGGAGAAGAAAAGAUAGUGCUCCCAUUGGCAUGAUGUCCACUUUGUCCAUUGGAUUGGAGCUGUACCCCCAAGGAAGCCUCUUUAGAGAAAAAAUAAUAGAAGGCAAAUGUUGACUUGCAAAGGGUAACAAACCUGUUAGUGUUUACAGUACAGAUGCUGACACUGUUUAACCUAAUAGCAAGCUGUUGCUUAAGCAUCUUUCAGAGAGUAAUUAAAAGGCUCCAAGAUGCACCGAAACCAAUUAUAUUAAAAUUUUAUUUGUAGGGAGUGCUUAAGACUUAAGGUAAAAAAAAUCAGAAUUCAUAACCCAACGGGAGAUGUCUUUCUGCCAUAGGCAACAGGGAUGGUACUGAGAUCUCAAUUAAAGACCAGGGCUUGGUUACAAAGGCGGGGACCUAAAAUCAGCUUUCCUCUGACCCAACCCAGAGCUUCUUUGAUGAGGGAAGGAAAAAGUUCACUAUUGCAACAAUAUUAAGUAGAAAUUAGAAGAAAGAACUGGUUAUUCCUUUGGGGAAAAAAGACCAAAGAAAGGGUGACGGCCUGCCUGAAGAAGUUUCAGCAGCAGCAAGGCUGGAAAGAUCAGUGUUGAGAGGGCUCUGAGAGAUGCGUUUUCCUGAAGAGCUGCAUUCUUCAGGCAUAAGGAAUGGGUCAUGUUUGCUGUUUGCUUGUUUUCUCUUUGCCAAAAAAUCCACCAGGUCAGUCUGAGUGUCCCAGCUGAAUUCCACAAAAGACGUAUCAAGAGAUCCAGCUGCUGCUUCUGAGACUGUCACUGACUGGCUGUGUGACCUCAGAGAAGUCACUUUCCUGCUCUGAGCUUCAGUUUCUUAGGAUCUGUGGAGAGAAAGGAACACUUACAGCUCUAAAAAGGGUCAAUCCUGCUGUGGUAAUACUUUGGAUUCAGAAAAUACCUCCUCUUCUCACACUCAAACUUGGAAAAUGCUGUCAGUCCUUAAAUCCUCUCUGUAACUCACAGGGAUUAGUUUCCUCUUAUUGCAGCUGGAGUUAUGAAGAGUCAGUGAAGCUAAGUGGCAGGCACAAGGUGACCUUUCACCUUCCAGAGGACGGUGGAGGACUGCACUCCUGACUUCAGCCCGGGGCUUGAGCCAUUCAGGGUAUUGACGCACAGAGAGUUUAUGGGAUUAAACACCACAGCCAGGACCCUGAAGCUGCGCUCUUACUGUGACCCUGCACUGCAUUUUGGUCCAGAAGCAGAGGACUCCACGAAACAGGCUGGGGUAUCCACAGGAGGCUAGAGGUCCUGAAAGAUAGUGACAAUGGAAACUUCACUUUCAAGGCAGAUAAAAUGCCCCACUAAAUCGUAAGCCCCUGGAGGACAGGGUUGUGCUUCAUAUGACCAUCUCCUUGGAGCAGAGCACCAGACAUGAUGCAUAGUGAAUUUUACAGACUGGAGCUCGAAGAGAGCGUGAUCUGACUUCAGAUGACCUGUACUGGUUCUUCAGACUGAAAUAUCCCUCCAGUGGAGAAAGGCAAUUCAUCAAGCAACCAGAGCUGGAAAGUAAUUCUCUGAAAGAACAUCCAGCUGCCCUGGCUCCUGUUCUCUACUCACCCAACAGAGAACUUGCAAUUUGGCCUCCUGAGAGCUGAUGGCCAGCAUGCGUUCUCUCAGGGAGGACCCUCCUGCUGGGAGUUAAUCUAGGAUAUUGGUCUAUCAAUCACUCUCUGUGGUCACCUGGCUCUCUUCAUGUCACCCUGUGGAAAUUGAGGCUUCGGGAACUGGUGCAAAAAUGCUGCUACUUUGGCUACUAUUGUUGUCGAUGGCGCCCUUUCAUUUUGUGGAGGCAGGAAAGACAGAGGAGGAGAAAUCUUCGUGGCCUUCACAUUUGGAUCAUACAGCGCAAUCCCUAAUGUAAUAUGAAUAGCAUCCUGAUGAAUUAGCCUUAAACACGAUGCUUAGCAGAGUAAUGAACAGAAUGCCUUGAACUCCAACACUGCUCCUGCCAAUGACAUCAGAAACCAUCCAGGGGAAGCAGUUAUCAUCCAAUGCCUGGUCUCAGAGGAUUUAAUGGCUCUGAGAGACAUGGGGAAGAAUGAAUUUGUACCUUAAGAAAUGCCUUUGAAACUACUGAAUCUUUAUUUUCAAUUAUGGAGAAAAAAACAUUGUCCACUGGCACCUAAAAGCUCUCAGACCUUUUGGUUUGAAGUGACGGAUUCCGGAACAACCCAAGGACUGGGUCUUUCCAGCUGAAUGAGACCCUCAGAUCAUACAGUACCAGGGACAGGGACGGCGUCUGAGGGACAGGCGGCUGAAGAUUCAGUUCCCACUCUUGUCUCCUGCCCUGGAUAAACAGUUCAGAAAGAGCUUUGUUCCGCUACAGUGACUGGAGAGCAGAAGCCAUGCUCCACUGGGGAGUGCUGUCUUUCCCCGGCUUUCUUGAUGCGCUUGGGUUGUUUGGGAGUGGUGCCGCAUGCAUCCCUUGCCUACUAACAGAACUGAUUUUGUUCAGUUGUUCAGAUGUCAGGAGCUGGGCCUCUCCUUGGCCCCAGGAGAUAAAUGUCUAUUAGUACAAAUCAACUACAUUAAUUACAUUCUGUUGGCUAGUAAUUGUUUUAGGAAUAAAGUCAUGAAAGAGCUCUGGCCAAUGAGAUAGAAGUGAAGGGGGUGGGGUGCUUCUGGGAAUGUUUUCCUCAUUCGUAAAAAGAGACACAAGAAAAGGAUGUUCUCUGUAGGCCUUUGGACAUUGCUGUGUUAGGAUAUAAUGCUUGGAGCUACUGCAGCUACUUUGCCACCAUGAGACUUCAAGCCUGAAGACAAAGGGCAACAUGUUGAGGAUGGAAGAGCCAAAAGUUAGAUAGAAAGAGCCUGGGUUCCUGAAGACAUGAUUGAGCUGAAUACCCAGUUCUGAACUCUACCUUAUGUGAGAUCAGCGCCCUUAUUUAAUUUUCUCUUAUUUACUCAAAGCCUUUUUGAAUUGUGUUUUCUAUUACAUGCAGCUGAAAGGAUUUUAAACUGACAUGCAUCUUUGCCUCCCCUUUCCCCACUUCCUUGCCUUACCCUCCUUUAUUUCUUAGAUGUUGGCACUUGCAAGCUCAGGCAUCUACAUAGAUCCCACAUCAGCUGCCCAGCUCUGAGGACAUGUAUGGCACGGGGGUUCUUCAAAACUUCUUUGAAACCUCCUUGAUGGCUCAGAAAGGAACACCUUUAAAGCAGCAACCUGAUAAACACCAGUUCCACUUUUCCUUUCAAGUGUGGCAAGACAUUCAUGAAACUUCACAGGAACGGCAAGGACCUGGGCUCUUUGGCAGAGCACCUCGUGGUGACCCAUUUUCACUUGUCUAGCCUUCUCAUCCUCUUACUGGGGGCACAGUGUCUCACCCUGCAGGAUUCUGCUUGCCUGGGAGAGGAGAGUUAGGUCACUGUAAGAUGGGAAGACCUGAAGAAUUUUUAUUUCCUAGAGAUUUUUGCUUUUUCUUUCCCAAACUGGAAAAACAGAAAAAUAAAUCCCCCACAUAUUUCUGAAGUUCUUUUCUUCCCAAGUCCUCACAUCUCUAAAUAUAUCAAACAUGAUAAUUUUUUGAGCAACCAAGUUAUACAUAAUACAUUUUAUGUUCUUAAAUGUAUCAAGUGAUUUUAGAUCUGUACAGGAUGCUAAAAAACAAGAACAGAUAGUGCCCAAUUUGUAAAUUAAUUUGGGAGUAUAACUUUUUUUAAGUGGGUUGCUUGAAUGCAGAAUGCUUUUUCUUAUAGAAACAAUGGUGGUUGAGUUCCAAGUCUGGACCACACAAACCCAUGUAUUCCACAUCGAGCCGCAGCUUUGUUGUUUACCAACCACACUAAUACCGUUAACGCUUGCUGAGCCUCUCCUCUGUGCCUGACUCUUUACUUCCACCUUUUUAUGCGUUAUCACAAUGAUUUAUUUCUCACAACAGCUCUGUGUCAAAGGGAACCAAAGCUCAGAUAGCUUAAGUAACUUGCCCAAGGACACACAGCAUGUAAAUGGUAAAACCAGGACCCUGUGGGCUCUCUGGCCGCAGGGUUAGUUGUUUUCACAUUUAUCUUGCCCUCCUGAUGGGUCUCAGCCACCAUCUGCAUCAAUGUUUCUCUGGAAAAAUGUGUUCCAAAUUCCAACUGCCAAGAGCACGUCUCUCAGGCCUGGCAGCUAAAGUCCCCCUUUGCCCUUCCAAUUUCCCUUUUUUUCUCCUCAAUAGCAGAGAGAGAGAAAGAGAGAAAAAGAGAGAGAGACAGAAAAAGAGAGAGAGAGAGACAGUAUAUCCGUGUGAAGGUUGGCCCAGCAUGAAAGCCUCAUCCUGUCAUUUGCCAGACAGCCUGUCUCCAUCUCUGGCCUUGCCCAUCCGCUGGCUCCUCUACCCCAUCCUGUAGCUGAGCUGGAGAUAACGCACACACUCCUCGUUACAUGUCUACUGCUUCUGCCACCGGUUUACAGCCCAGCCACUGACACAGGUUUGAUAAAAGGGCUUGGUGAUUAUUCAAAUCCCAGCUUAGACUAGGACUUACCUUUGCGAGCCUUCAAUGAAAUGUGGCUUUAAAACAAGCAUAGUCAGAUUUCUGUCCCCUACCCUCUUGGUGUCUCAGGUGGUGAGGACCAUCAUAACGGUCUUUAUACCUCAUCUCUGUCCCUAGACCUGCCCUCCCUCUUCUCACCAGGCUAAUCUCUCCUUUCCAUGCUUCUGAAAGUGUUGGGAGUCUUGUAAAACCAGCCAGGCAGUCUCAAUGCCUCCAGUUGGCCUGCAUCUCACCCAAUGUACUCUCACCUAUGUAUUUCUUAUUUACAAAAAUCUUCCAGCCCAGUUUUGUAGUCUCCCUUGAGAGCAAGUUCCACCCCACCCCUUUUCCGUAAAAGCAAGACCUAAUUUCUCCGUUACCGUGUAACUAUCUUAUGCAUCUUCUACCGCUCUUAGGAAGAACUUAAAC